AACGAACGCUGGCGGCAUGCCUAACACAUGCAAGUCGAACGAGACCUUCGGGUCUAGUGGCGCACGGGUGCGUAACGCGUGGGAACCUGCCCUUAGGUUCGGAAUAACUCCCCGAAAGGGGUGCUAAUACCGGAUAAUGUCUUCGGACCAAAGAUUUAUCGCCUUUGGAUGGGCCCGCGUUAGAUUAGCUGGUUGGUAGGGUAAAAGCCUACCAAGGCGACGAUCCAUAGCUGGUCUGAGAGGAUGAUCAGCCACACUGGGACUGAGACACGGCCCAGACUCCUACGGGAGGCAGGAGUGGGGAAUAUUGGACAAUGGGCGAAAGCGUGAUACAGCAAUGCCGCGUGAGUGAUGAAGGCCGUAGGGUUGUAAAGCUCUUUUACCCGGGAUGAUAAUGACAGUACCGGGAGAAUAAGCUCCGGCUAACUACGUG
rnacentral:rRNA from 1 species